rnacentral:rRNA from 1 species
UACGAAGGGGGCUAGCGUUGCUCGGAAUUAUUGGGCGUAAAGCGCGCGCAGGCGGUUUCUUAAGUCGGAGGUGAAAUCCUGGAGCUCAACUCCAGAACUGCCUUCGAUACUGAAGAGCUCGAGUCCGGGAGAGGUGAGUGGAACUGCGAGUGUAGAGGUGAAAUUCGUAGAUAUUCGCAAGAACACCAGUGGCGAAGGCGGCUCACUGGCCCGGUACUGACGCUGAGGUGCGAAAGCGUGGGGAGCAAACGGG